CUCACACGACUUCAAUUUUAUUUUGCGUGCACAAAACUCUUACUCGCUUAGCAUAAUAGGUUUUAUUUUCUUAAUUUUAAUUGCAAAAUAGAAUUAAUUCCUGUUGUACGUUGUAUUUAUUAUUUCCAUGGUACCAACCCUUACAAAGGUCAGCUAAUCGCAACCAUACGCUCUUUGAUCACAACUAGUUUGUCUAUGGCGAAGACCAAAACAGAAAAGAUUUCGAGCUUCGGUAGAUUCGGGUUCAAAUUAGAAUUUAGAACGAAUUGAUUGAAUGAAACAUAUCAGUCGUGGUUAAUUUGUAAUGAUUUACAUUUUGUUUAUUCUUGGAAGUUUAUACUUUCCUUGUGUUUCACGAUCGGAAUACUCUAAUCAUACAUUAAAAAAUAUCAUUGUAUGUCGUUCUUGUGGCAAUAAUAUUACUGGUACCGAAGCGAUAACUUCUAAGCGUAGUGGAGAAUCUAGUCAUACAUU